rnacentral:rRNA from 1 species
GACGAAUGCUGGCUGCGUGCUUAACACAUGCAAGUCGAACGGUGAAAGGGAGCUUGCUCCCUGGAUCAGUGGCGAACGGGUGAGUAACACGUGGGCAACCUGCCCCUCACUCUGGGAUAACUCCGGGAAACCGGGGCUAAUACCGGAUACGACCGGGAGCGACAUCGCUCCUGGUGGAAAGAACUUCGGUGAGGGAUGGGCCCGCGGCCUAUCAGCUAGUUGGGGGGGUAACGGCCCACCAAGGCGACGACGGGUAGCCGGCCUGAGAGGGCGACCGGCCACACUGGGACUGAGACACGACCCAGACUCCUACGGGAGGCAGCAGUGGGGAAUAUUGCGCAAUGGGCGAAAGCCUGACGCAGCGACGCAGCGUGAGGGACGAAGGCCUUCGGGUUGUAAACCUCUUUCAGCGGGGACGAAGCGAAAGUGACGGUACCCGCAGAAGAAGCACCGGCUAACUACGUGCCAGCAGCCGCGGUAACAC